rnacentral:rRNA from 1 species
GAAUGCGAUCAUACUAGCACUAAAGCAUCGGAUCCCAUCAGAACUCCGAAGUUAAGCGUGCUUGGGCGAGAGUAGUACUAGGAUGGGUGACCUCCUGGGAAGUCCUCGUGUUGCAUUCC